rnacentral:rRNA from 1 species
CGCAACCCUUAUCCUUUGUUGCCAGCGAUUAGGUCGGGAACUCAAAGGAGACUGCCAGUGAUAAACUGGAGGAAGGUGGGGAUGACGUCAAGUCAUCAUGGCCCUUACGACCAGGGCUACACACGUGCUACAAUGGCGCAUACAAAGAGAAGCGACCUCGCGAGAGCAAGCGGACCUCAUAAAGUGCGUCGUAGUCCGGAUUGGAGUCUGCAACUCGACUCCAUGAAGUCGGAAUCGCUAGUAAUCGUGGAUCAGAAUGCCACGGUGAAUACGUUCCCGGGCCUUGUACACACCGCCCGUCACACCAUGGGAGUGGGUUGCAAAAGAAGUAGGUAGCUUAACC